UUCUACUGUCACCAUGGUAUCUAAGCUCAUCAGAGAAACUGCGUGAGGUUGUUGCUAGCUUGGGUAAGUGGUUUAUCUAGUCCAAGGCAACAAAGAACUAAAUGUUCUCAAAGUUACAUGAAUACCUACCUUGGAGUCUGGGAGCAGGGGGAGAGGAGCUGAAUAGCAGCGAGUGCUGCCCUUCCUGCAUAGGUGAGGACAAUUACUGACUAUAGGCAUCUGACCAGAAAUGAAUGCCUUGAUAAACAGUAUCAGUAAUUUUCCUGCUUGACAACUGAGUCUUUAUGGUCCCUGUUCAGGCUUCAGAGGUAAAACAAAAAUGCUGUUCUUGGCCAUGUGACAUACUGUGAGUUAAUUUUUUCCUGAUUCCCACUUUAAGGCCCUUAAAGCUAUCUGUCUUGUUAUUCUUUCUUCUCUAUCCUGGAAUGAAGAACAGCUUUUCUUUUUUGUAAUAAUUUCUCCAUUCAGCUUCUGAAAGGAAUGAGGCAGUUACUAGCCGGGGAGAUAAUCUGAUUAUUGUAAUGAUGUAGCUGCUAGUAAUUGACAACAAGAGGUGGAGAAACAUACAACAGAGGAAAUGAUGGAAAGACAAAGUACAAGCAAAGUGGAGAUACUUGAUAUAGUAAGUAGAAGUGUUGGCACAUCAAUUGCCUUAUUGAUAUUAAUUCUGUUCAGUGAUUUCCUUAUUAGAUCUGCAGAUGGUUGGAUGUGUUUGCUAGUUGCCAGUCCCACAAAUUCAGGCUUCGUCCUGAAAUUCAUGUGGAGCUCUUUGCAAAGCACGUUGUAUAUAUUCUGCAGGUGGGAUUAUACACUUAAUGCAUACUUUUGGGUUCCCAUCAGAGAAUGGAUGUGUUGGAAUUAGUCUAAAGCUACAGAAUUGUAAUGGGGUCACUUGAGCAAAACAAGGUGUAUAAAGUUGCACAAAAAUGUCUGUGCUAAUAUUGUAAAGCAUGGGGUUUCUGUAAGUGGAUAUAAUGCAUGAGAUGGGAGAAUAAUUGUCUUGACAGUCAAUCAGAGCUAAAUUGAAAGAAAUCAUUAUUUUAUACUUACAAAGAGUUAAUUUGAUAUGGGAGCCAUUGAGACUCAGGAAAAAGGGCAUCUUGCAAUGUCAUCUCUACUGCAAUGUAAAAUUGCUUCACAAAUUAUACUACCGUUCUGUUAAUUAUCUUCCCAGCACUGUCCACUUCUUUGGAGUUCUCUGUGUACAAGAUAAGAAGCUCAAGCUCCUGUACACCAAAGUCUGUCUGCAGAAACAAGAAGUUGUUGUGAGGUCCAGCCCAGGAGAAGCUUGAGGUACUGUCUUAUUCUGAGACACUGAGGAAAAGGUUUGCUUGCAGGUAUGUUUAGACUAGAACUACACAAGGACACUAAGCUAUGAGAAACCCCUAAAAAUGAUGUGGCCUUAUUUUUAAUGAAGAUUUGAUUGUGCCUUUUGGGUGGCUUAGUUUGACGUUGUUUUAUACUGGCAAAUGGUAAACGUGUUUCAAAGUGGGAUCUCCCAGAACUUCUCAGAAAUUCUAGUGUCAGUUUUGAGGUGAGAUCCAAACAGCAUGAUAUGAAAUGCCUCCCUUUCACUGGAGGAGUUCAGCUCACUUGUUCAGGCUGUGAGAGGCUUGCUAAGUUCUGCACCCCCAUAUAACAUACAUCUCCUACCUCCCAUAAAAGUUGGAGGGUACUUGGAAUUGUAUGCUUUCAAUCUCUCUUUAGGGCCACUUCACUUUGCAAAAAAUAACUAAACUUUCACUGGAUAUGGAACUGGAACCUGCCGGGGAAUGAGGUAGAGAUAAUCCCACCAUUCAAAAGACUAAUCUGACCAGCAGGUAAAGAACAUUUCUCCUGCAAUUUCUCUCAGUGAUUAUUUUUUUGACAAAAGCAUCAGCGUCAACCAAAAAAAUUGAGGGAGGCACAGCUUGAGGCCCUCAACUGCCUAGAGCUCUUGCUCAAAUAGUGUGAGACUCAAAAGCUAAUUCACUUUCUGUCUAAAUCACAAAGAAAUGUAACUUCAGUGUCUACUACUCUGGAGAGUUCUUGAAAGCCUGAACCAUAUGAGAAAGGGGCCACCACUUCCACCAGAACUGUCAACCUGACCAGCUAUAAGGCUUUUGUCUUUACAGGUAUUCCAAACCAAGGCAAUCUGUAGACUAAGGAUAGAUUUAUUUUUCUGAUCUCAGUAAGAACAAAAACAUGGUUUUAUUUGUAUUGAUCAGAGCCACUCUUUUAAUAGUUUCUGGUUUGUUUGCCUACUCAUAUAAAUCAGUGAGUCAUAUAGCCCCAGUGCUCUCAAUAAACUGAUUUCUUAUCUGAA